ACUAUUUUGGCAGAUUAGUGCAAUAAAUUUAGAAUUUAUUAAUGUAAUAAUUAUAAUGUAUAUUACAAAUAGU
rnacentral:tRNA from 1 species